GCCGGGUGCGGUGGCGCGCGCCUGUAAUCCAAGCUACUGGGAGGCUGAGGCUGGCGGAUCGUUUGAGCUCAGGAGCUCUGAGCUGCAGCGGACUAUGCCGAUCGGGUGUCCGCACUAAGUUCGGCAUCGAUAUGGUGCUCCUGGGGAGCUCAGGACCACCAGGUCGCCUGGGGGGUGCACCGGCCCAGGUCGGAAACGGAGCAGGUCAAAGCCCCCGUGCCGCUCAGUAGUGGGAUCGCGCCUGUGAAUAGACGCUGUAGUGCAGCCUGAGUAAUACAGCGGGACCCAGUCUUUU
ensembl:misc_RNA Metazoa_SRP Metazoan signal recognition particle RNA